GUGGCAGACGGGUGAGUAACGCGUGGGAAUCUACCUAGUUCUACGGAACAACUGAGGGAAACUUCAGCUAAUACCGUAUACGCCCUACGGGGGAAAGAUUUAUCGGAAUUAGAUGAGCCCGCGUAAGAUUAGCUAGUUGGUGGGGUAAUGGCCUACCAAGGCGACGAUCUUUAGCUGGUCUGAGAGGAUGAUCAGCCACACUGGGACUGAGACACGGCCCAGACUCCUACGGGAGGCAGCAGUGGGGAAUAUUGGACAAUGGGCGCAAGCCUGAUCCAGCCAUGCCGCGUGAGUGAUGAAGGCCUUAGGGUUGUAAAGCUCUUUCAGUGGGGAAGAUAAUGACGGUACCCACAGAAGAAGCCCCGGCUAACUUCGUGCCAGCAGCCGCGGUAAUACGAAGGGGGCUAGCGUUGUUCGGAUUUACUGGGCGUAAAGCGCACGUAGGCGGGUUGUUAAGUCAGAGGUGAAAUCCUGGAGCUCAACUCCAGAACUGCCUUUGAUACUGGCAAUCUAGAGUCCGGAAGAGGUGAGUGGAACUCCUAGUGUAGAGGUGGAAUUCGUAGAUAUUAGGAAGAACACCAGUGGCGAAGGCGGCUCACUGGUCCGGUACUGACGCUGAGG
rnacentral:rRNA from 1 species